rnacentral:rRNA from 1 species
AGGUCGACGGCCAGCAUUCUUGUAGCCAUAGUAGAGAUGGCGACCGGCGCACGGGUGAGUAACACGUAUCCAACCUACCGAUAACUCUGGAAUAGCCUUUCGAAAGAAAGAUUAAUACCGGAUAGUAUACGAAUAUCGCAUGAUAUUUUUAUUAAAGAAUUUCGGUUAUCGAUGGGGAUGCGUUCCAUUAGUUUGUUGGCGGGGUAACGGCCCACCAAGACUACGAUGGAUAGGGGUUCUGAGAGGAAGGUCCCCCACAUUGGAACUGAGACACGGUCCAAACUCCUACGGGAGGCAGCAGUGAGGAAUAUUGGUCAAUGGACGAGAGUCUGAACCAGCCAAGUAGCGUGAAGGAUGACUGCCCUAUGGGUUGUAAACUUCUUUUAUAUGGGAAUAAAGUUUUCCACGUGUGGAAUUUUGUAUGUACCAUAUGAAUAAGGAUCGGCUAACUCCGUGCCAGCAGCCGCGGUAAUACGGAGGAUCCGAGCGUUAUCCGGAUUUAUUGGGUUUAAAGGGAGCGUAGGUGGAUUGUUAAGUCAGUUGUGAAAGUUUGCGGCUCAACCGUAAAAUUGCAGUUGAAACUGGGAGUCUUGAGUACAGUAGAGGUGGGCGGAAAUUCGUGGU